AUUGAAAGCUGGCGGCAGGCCUAACACAUGCAAGUCGAACGAGUGGCGGACGGGUGAGUAAUGUCUGGGAAAAUGCCUGAUGGAGGGGGAUAACUACUGGAAACGGUAGCUAAUACCGCAUACCAUCAGAUGUGCCCAGAUGGGAUUAGCUAGUUGGUGGGGUAACGGCUCACCAAGGCGACGAGCACUAGCUGCUCUGAGAGGAUGACCAGCCACACUGGAACCUGAGCACUUUCCAUACUCCUACGGGAGGCAGCAGUGGGGAAUAUUGCACAAUGGGCGCGUGCCUGAUGCAGCCAUGCCGCGUGUAUGAAGAAGGCCUUCGGGUUGUAAAGUACUUUCAGCGGGGAGGCGUUACCCGCAUACGAAGCACCGGCUAACUCCGUGCCAGCCGCCGCGGUAAUUC
rnacentral:rRNA from 1 species